GUGCUUGCCUUGGUAGCACAUAUACUAAAACUGGAAUGAUACAGAAAAGAUUAGCAUGGCCCUUGAACAAGGAUGACAUUCAAAUUCAUGAAGAUUCCACUUUUUAA
ensembl:snRNA U6 U6 spliceosomal RNA